UGGGGAAUUUUGGACAAUGGGCGCAAGCCUGAUCCAGCAAUGCCGCGUGCAGGAUGAAGGCCUUCGGGUUGUAAACUGCUCUUGUACGGAGCGAAAAGGUCUGCCCUAAUACGGUGGGCUCAUGGCGGUACCGUAAGAAUAAGCACCGGCUAACUACGUGCCAGCAGCCGCGGUAAUACGUAGGGUGCAAGCGUUAAUCGGAAUUACUGGGCGUAAAGCGUGCGCAGGCGGUUACGCAAGACAGAGGUGAAAUCCCCGGGCUCAACCUGGGAACUGCGCUUGUGACUGCUAAGCUAGAGUACGGCAGGGGGGGGUGGAAUUCCACGUGUAGCAGUGAAAUGCGUAGAGAUGUGGAGGAACACCAGUGGCGGAGGCAGCCCCCUGGGUCGAUACUGACGCUCAUGCACGAAAGCGUGGGUAGCAAACA
rnacentral:rRNA from 1 species